GCCUUAUCUAGGGCGGUAAAUGUGCGCACGAAGGAGCCUAGGUCAUUAACAAAGGACUCACCAAAGAGCAUGCCUUUAGUGGCAGCACCCGGUUCCUUCACCGCUAGAUUUACCAAUUUCGGCUCAAUCAUGAGCAAGAUCGCCUUGCGGCGUUUAGCCGACAUGGCUGUAUUGGCGUUGCCGAGAAGGCAAAUCAGUCUUUGGACCCA